UACAGAGGGUGCAAACGUUGUUCGGAUUUACUGGGCGUAAAGCGCGUGUAGGCGGCUUCGUAAGUUGGAUGUGAAAUCCCACGGCUCAACCGUGGACGUGCAUCCAAAACUACGUCGCUGGAGUCUCGGAGAGGAAGGUGGAAUGCUUGGUGUAGAGGUGAAAUUCGUAGAUAUUCGCAAGAACACCAGUGGCGAAGGCGGCUCACUGGCCCGGUACUGACGCUGAGGUGCGAAAGCGUGGGGAGCAAACAGG
rnacentral:rRNA from 1 species